rnacentral:rRNA from 1 species
GACGAACGCUGGCGGCGUGCUUAACACAUGCAAGUCGAACGGAAAGGCCCUGCUUUUGUGGGGUGCUCGAGUGGCGAACGGGUGAGAAGCACGUGAGUAACCUGCCCUUGACUUUGGGAUAACUUCAGGAAACUGGGGCUAAUACCGGAUAGGAGCUCCUGCUGCAUGGUGGGGGUUGGAAAGUUUCGGCGGUUGGGGAUGGACUCGCGGCUUAUCAGCUUGUUGGUGGGGUAGUGGCUUACCAAGGCUUUGACGGGUAGCCGGCCUGAGAGGGUGACCGGCCACAUUGGGACUGAGAUACGGCCCAGACUCCUACGGGAGGCAGCAGUGGGGAAAAUUGCACAAUGGGCGGAAGCCUGAUGCAGCAACGCCGCGUGCGGGAUGACGGCCUUCGGGUUGUAAACCGCUUUCGCCUGUGACGAAGCGUGAGUGACGGUAAUGGGUAAAGAAGCACCGGCUAACUACGUG